rnacentral:tRNA from 1 species
GGGGAUGUGGCAGACUUGGUAAUUGUACCGCACUGUCUAUGCGGAAUAUGAGGGUUCAAAUCCCUUCAUCCUCG